rnacentral:rRNA from 1 species
GUGCCAGACGCCGCGGUAAUACGAAGGGACCUAGCGUAGUUCGGAAUUACUGGGCUUAAAGAGCUCGUAGGUGGUUAAGAAAGUUGGUGGUGAAAUCCCAAGGCUUAACCUUGGAACUGCCACCAAAACUUUUUAACUAGAGUAUGAUAGAGGUAAGUGGAAUUUCUAGUGUAGAGGUGAAAUUCGUAGAUAUUAGAAAGAACACCAAUUGCGAAGGCAACUUUCUGGAUCAUUACUGACACUGAGGAGCGAAAGCAUGGGUAGCGAAGAGGAUUAGAUACCAUCGUAGUCCAUGCUGUAAACGAUGUGUGCUAGACGUUGGAAACUUAGUUUUCAGUGUCGCAGCGAAAGCGUUAAGCACACCGCCUGGAGAGUACGACCGCAAGGUUAAAACUCAAAUGAAUUGACGGGGACCCGCCCAAGCAGUGGAGCAUGUGGUU